CACCACAGAGAGGGAGGGCGUGGGCAGGAAAUCGGCAGCAUCCGUUUCUCUCCCACUUGCAGUUCGUUCAAGGCAGAGAUGGCUUCAGCAGCAACAGUUCAGUCCCACCAAGGGCUCUCUGGACUCCUCUUCAUCUCCCUCUUGGCCCUGCAGUGUGCCCUAAUCAGCAGCGCAGAUGUUGUGAAGGUGACUCAGGAACCACCAUUUGAAAGCAAACUGAACGGCGAGACCCUGAGAAUGACCUGUGCUGUCAACCAAGAGAACUAUUAUAUCUAUUGGUACCGCCAACUCCCUGGGCAGACAGAACUACACCAACUUGGGUCUUUCCAACUCUUUACCAAAGACCUGCAAGAGAAGUCAGAAGGCAAGCUGAAGGAUCGGCUGGGUGGCGAACGGAACAAAAAUAAUGCCUCCUUGAACCUGGGAAGUCUGGAGCCUGAGGACACAGGACUCUAUCUCUGUGCUGCUAAAGACACAGUGAUUCCUGCAGGAACAAGACUGGUUUCUAAACUGAUGCUGCUUUUCAGGUGGUUAUCUUAUUGAACUGGGUAAAAGUCCACCUUCAAUGGUAACCAUAUGUUGCAUGUUUGAAAUUUGAAAAUGAUGCUGGUUUGUCAGGGAUGAUGUGAUCCACCAAGAUCAGAUGCCCUGUAUUUCAGUCACUUUUCUGAAUCCUUAUUAGGAUCGCUGAUG